AGAGUGAAAUGGCCUUAAGACCAUUUAGAGCAACAAAAUCCAGAGAGGUCCCUCAAAAACUCAAAAUUGCAACAGCCCGGUCUGGGCAGUUUUCGCCCAGAGGGACCGGUCUCUCCCUGCAAGGGACCGGUCUCUCGUGUCGAACCCGAGAAACCAACGUUCGGGAACCGGUCUCUCCCUGCGCGGACCGGUUGCCUCGCCGGCUGCGUAACACUGCUCACUGGGGGACCGGUCUCUCCUUUCAGGGACCGGUCCCCGAGAGUAAAAACUCUCAGGACUCGUCCAGAACUCAGGUUUUCGAACUUUCUAGGUCGGAAAACAUUCUACGACCCUCCACCAAGUGUGGAA
rnacentral:lncRNA from 1 species